CACCAUCAUCACUCGUGAAUCCGACUCCAACACAAUCAUGUGAUCUCCAUUAUGAAAACCAAAAUUUGAUACCACUCAGAGCUGCCUCCGCUUCCAUAGCUAAAACAGAUGCACACACUCUCACUUUUGCAAGACCACCACAAAAAAUCCCUCUGCACAGUGGCGGUUAUAGGAUUCGGAAGCCGGCCAGGCAAAACCUAUGUAAUAAACUCGACGGUACAAGUGAAUUUCAUUAAUAAACAUUAAAAAAUACAUAUAGUGAGGGGGGACAUAAUGAGUCUUACCCUCAAAUGUAUCUAUAUCUACAAAUACAAAAACUAAAAUAAAAACAAAAAAUAAAUGCAAUGCAAUGCAAUACAAAGCAACACUAUUUAAAUAUAAAAUUUAACCCUACAAGGCUUAGAACUCUUAAAUUCCUCAAUUAUGGAUGCAUACAAUCAGCAAAAUAUCCAUCACUUAUAGUGCUUCGAAGUCGAUUCUUAAUAAUUUUCAUACAUGAGAAAGCUCGUUCCGUUGUUGUAGAAAUAGGAAGAGUCAACACCAACCUAAUCAACCUGUCAAUCAAAUAGUAGUUUUUCCCCAAAGUUGUUUCAACCAAUUGUUGACAUAAUUGAGGAAGAGUAGUGAUUUCCUUAAAGCAUGGAAGGUGUUUUAUAUCAUUUUGAAAAUACUUGAGCUCUACUGCUAAAGCUUUCAACUCCUGAGGAAGGAAAUCAGCAGGAUAGAAUUUCUCGGCAAGUUUACAUAUAUGUCUAAUAUUGAAUGACAUGAAAGAAUUACGCAGAUCCAAAGCUAAGCUAAGAGUAAGAAGUUCAACUGUUUGCUCUGAAAAUCUAUCAUUUAACUCCCUUAUCAUGCAAUCUAUAACAUCAUUAAAUACAUCAAUGCGAUAGACAUGCUCAUUGUAAUAAAAUCUUAUGUUGGCAAGAACGACGUGUGCCCGUCAUAUAACGACCACCCAUAUUAGGAACAUCAACACAAUAGUUCACAAAAUGAUACCACACUCAUGAAUAAAUCAUCCCAACCAUGUUCCCUCAUAUCUUCAAGUUGCAUUUUUGUGUUCUCAACAAAAUUUAAAGCACUUACAAUGUCUUGAGUUUUCGUCCGAAAUGCUUGACAAAGAAAAUUGGUCAAUCCCAUAAUUUUUUUCCAUCAAAACCAAUCAAAACACCAACUCAAAAGAUAUCAUAGCAAUAUAGUUACUCUUUGCAUCACCACGGAACUGUUGGUUAGGUCCAUGAUCACUGAUUUCCAAAAGAAGUUAUUUAGUCUCUUUAAAUAGACUCAUCAAACUUGUAAUAGAGAUAAAAUGAGAUCCCCAACGAGUUGCUCCAACUCGUUUCGAAGUACGAGCUUGAUUAAGUCCUUUACCUGUCUCAAGUUCCCCAUAAUCCAACAACUCCUUGAGUUCAGUUUUUCGAAUUAAGUUUAACUCAUUACAGCGCUUAGCAGAAGUACUAACAAAAUUCACAAUGUUUGUCAGCAUUAAAAAAAAAUCUCCAUACAACUUUCACAUCUUUAGCUGCUCCAUUUAAUGCUAAUUGCAAGCGAAGAGCAAAACAAUGCACAUAAUAUGCAUAUGGAAAUCUUCAAGAAACAAUGCUUGUAAUCCAUUCUAUGAACCAUGCAUAUUACUAGCACCAUAAUACCCUUCACCACACAUAUUUUCCACUAGAAUGUCGUUAUUACCAAGCACUUUGCAUAUCUCUUUUUUAAGAGUCAAGGUAUUAGUGUAUGCAACACUCACAAUGUAGAAAAAAAGGCUCACGAAUAAAUCCUUGACCAUCAACAAAUCUUAUAAUAAUAGCCAUUUGUUCUUUACCCGAUUCAUCAACAAAAAUACAAAAUUUGUUCUUCCCAAGUUCUCUACAAAUUGUCUUCCUCACCUUGGUAGCAAAAAUAUGCAACAUUUUUUUUUGUAGGUCAUUGGAAAUAUACUGAGCAUUUUUAUGAGCCUUAUCUAGGACAACUUUCUCAACUUCCAUAUUCAUUCUUGCAAAACACUUUAUGAUUUCAAUGAAAUUGCCUCGGUUAGAUGAGUCAGUGGAUUCAUCAUGGCCUCGAAAAGCCAAUGCUUAAUUUGCUAGAUACCUAAUGCCCUCUAUUGUGGUUGUAAGUCUGUUCACCCGUUUUCGUGUUUACUCCUAAGGUGGAAGGGCGAAGUUCCCCACUGGCUUGGAGACCAUUUGUUAGUCGACAAGUCAGCUUUCUUUGGUGUGUGAGCGUGCCACUGCUAGCAAUGUAAAUCCUAGCAGACUUCUUUUUAGAGUGGAUAACUUACGCCCCAAGUUACUGACUUCUAAAACAAAUGAUUGUGAAUUUGGGUGAGGAAUAUCUCCCAAGUAAGUUCUUUUCUUGCCUCAGACUGGUGAGGACUUUCAUAAUUUAUCUCAGUAUCAAAUGGUUGUUCUGGCCAGAAUAGAUAAUAAUGAAGUGGACUGUUUUAGGCAGAACUGCCUUUUACAAAAUUAAGAAGGGAGAAAUCAACUCUAGAAAGACAAAAAGAUGGCUGGAAUCCCAUUUCUGCCUGGGUAGAAACUUCUGAUCCAGGCUGGACUGAGUAUGUCUGUGCUGGACUGAGCUGUCAACAACUUCAACUCCUUAGCUUCAGCUGUAAAUCGAUACCAAAGUUCAAUUUUGGCAGAGCUUUAAUCUACUUCAAGCCUUGGGAGGCUUUUGAGCGGGCAGAACUACGGCUUCUUCAGUCUGAAGGGGCAGAAGUGGCUAGACUUGAGGGCUUAAUAAGUUGGAAUUGCACUGUAAAAUUUGUUGAGGUUUUCGUAUUUGUGAAAACUCAAACUCUGCUUGCCUUGGCUUUUGCUGAACCAAAUUUGUAACGAGAGAGAUCUCGUUUUAGAAGACUUAUUUUUUAAGUCUAAACUUUGGAAUUCUGAUCUAAAGCUGGUUUCUCUUGGAAUCCAAGUGAGCUUUUGGUUGUUUUCUUGUUGUUUCUUUUUUUUGAUUGAUUGAUGAAUUGAGUGUCCUCCUUGUCGUUUGCCUACUUCUGCUUUUAUAAGAGACCCUCUUAGGGCGGUGGUCUUUUGUUUAGAUUUUAAUAAUGGGCGGUAAAAAGAUCUCCUAAAAUGUAAAGUAGAAGGGAUUUUUAUUAAUCAUGGCAGAUAGGCUCUCAGUAGUCAUCUCCUAAAGCAGUCCCUUCCCUGGUUUCCUGGGUGGCAGAUUUUUAUUUCAACCAACGCCACCAUCUGUGUGGGCUAAAUUUUAUGGCGGUUGGUUUUCUUAUUUGUAUUUUCUGCACAGCUCCCUGUUUCCCGUUCUAAUUUAGAAAGCGUGACCCGGGAAUUCCUUGGAAGAUGGUGUAUUGCUUCUUGGAGCAAAAUCUCUGAUCACAGAUGGGUUUUGAUCUUCUGCUGGCAGUGUUUCAGAGAUGUCCCUCUCAUAUUUUUAACUUAGUUGAAAUUGCUGACUUUUCAAAGUUGAGGCAAUCACGUGGGUGUGUUUUUAAUUCCUUUGGGUUUGAACCCAACAAAAAUUAUGGGCUGAUCCUUGAAGCCCAAAUGACAGUUUGGUCUUUCUUGGGCUGGGGGCUUUGUUUUCGACAUCCUGGCGUGAAGCCCAAUCUGUCUGGAUCCUAAUUUUGUUAUCCUCAAGCUUUUUGGGCUGGGCAGGUAAUUUCACCAUGGGCCUGUCUUCUGAUUUUUGGCGUGUCAAAUUUAGGCCCAAACAAUGCCCCCUAAGUCUGAAUCGUUUUGGAACUGGAACGGUUUCAGACUUAAUGUUUUGUCAUUAAUUUGCGCGCCAGUCCUUUCCGUUUUUUAGCCCACGUCUGCCACGUCCGUCUACCGCGAACUAGAGUUCGUGGGAAAAACGGCUAGUUUAUUAGCUAGUUACUAGCUAAUAAUCAUCAGGUGCCGUCCCAUCUUCCUCUUCCCACGUUUUCGAGCCUCUCUUUCAAAAGAAUUUCAAAUCCACCGCUUCUGAAAACCUAGCCCUUCCGACUCCGUUCUUUCGAGUUUUUCUUCGGGAUUUCCAUUGUUUCUUUCGGACCUCCCUUUCCUUUCACUCUCUCUUUCUCUGCUUCUUCCCUCGAAUCAGAAAUGUCUUCCCCAAGGUCUCGUGCUCAGUCUUCUUCAGCUCCAAUUCCUCCCGAUUUCAUUACUAGGACCGGGAUUGAUGCUCAUGCGAUAGAAGUCAGGAGCAAGCUUCAUCCCUUUGCCCAAAAGAACCUGGACGAGAAUGUCCUUCAUUUGUUCGAGAACACCCUGGUGUUAGGGCCUCAUUGGUUUGGUCCUGUUCCUGCUGAGAUGGCAGAAUUGCUGAAAAAGGAUGCCGAGGCUCCUUUGUGUUUUGAGAGUAGUUCUGCCCUGGCUUCUUAUUCUUGGGUUAGCAAGAAUUUGAGCCGGUCUUUCCCGUCCAGCGAGGUGAGGAACAGUCCGGUCAAAUGGGCAGACUGGAUUGACAGACUUCUCCCGAGAUAUGGGGGUCACUGGAGGAGAGCCGGGAUUUAUGAUGCCAUUCUCCUGUCCAAGCAGUCAAUUAACAGAGAUGAGAACCUGCUUGCCGCUGCUUUGUGCUUCUGGAAUUCUGCCAGCAACACAUUUGAUUUCCGUGUGGGUCCUAUGGCGCCAACCCUGCUGGAUAUGGCCCAGAUCUUUGGGUUCAGGCCCCAUGGUAGGCCUGUUGAUGCUGUUGGAGAUUAUCACAGGCGAAAAAACCAAGAGAAAGUGGCCACUCCUUUCACUAUCUCUUCAGCCACGAUCAACCAGAACUGCUCUUUCUCCAAUUAUCUGAAGAAAUUUAGUGCUGAGAAGGACAAGGAUUAGCAACACAUGUUGUUCCUUCUGUAUUGGCUGAACCGGUUCGUUUUCCCCAAUCGGUCUUCUGCAGUUCUGCUUGAGUACAGACACUUGGCAGAAGCGCUUCACAAUCACACUGAUGUGGGGCUUGGGCCUACAGUUCUGGCUCACCUUUUCAAGAAUCUGCACACUGCCACCCUGGAGAAUCCACUGAACCUGUCGGCCCCUGGCGCAUUCUGGAUGAUCCAGAUCUGGCUGCAGGUCUAUUUUCCAGAGCUAAGGUUCCCAGACAUAGUUCUGCCUGAAGACCAAGUCCUGGCCCUUCCUCUGAUAUCGGCAGAAGUGCCCAAGCGUUCUAUUGAGGAGUACUUGAUGCUCUUCAGGCAUUGUACAAAAAGGUCGGCAGCUCAGUGGCAAGUGGUGAUCAGAAGGACCUAUCCCUGGUUCCAGACCGGAUUUCGGUUGUUCGAGAAGGAGCCAGAAGACGAGGCUGCCAGAACAGACUUCAGGAGGAAAUUUCUGAGCAUUACUCUGCCCAGAGAUCUGCCCCAUGGUGGGGGCAAACCUCCAAAUUAUCAUCUGGGGGCAGAAGUCUAUCAUCCCAACUUCUGUGCAAGGCAGCUUGGCUGUCCUCAGCUCAUUCCGCUGAAAUCCUAUCGGAGUUGCAAUCGGGCCUCCUCUUGGAGGGAUGCAGAUGAUCUGGAGGUGCACAAGGAUGCCCGGUGUGCAGUGAACAAAAUUAAGAACAGCAUGGAUGCCCUCUAUCCCUCGUGGGAGCUGAAUUCCUGCAGUUCUGCUGAUUUUGACGCAUGGUGGAAAGCCAGAUUCCAAGGUCUGCCUGCUUCUGUUACCGCCCUCAAGGUGCUUUUUGACGGUUGGGAGAACUGGCUCAUUUUUGCGGAUGGGGGCGCCAAAACGCACAUGGUCCAGACCAUCAAAGACAUCAAUGCACAAAUCAUAGAAGGUAGAUUUCUGAUUCUGUCUGGGAUUUGUUCUGUCUAGAUGACCGAUUUCUAAUGUCUAUUCUGCCUAUAUCAGAUCCUUCUCUGACAAACAACGUAGGUGGUCAAUCUGUUCAGGCUGGAGAAGUGAUUGGUAAGUUUUCCUUUUUAAUUUGUUUCUUCUGUCUUUUCCUGCUGGAUUGGUUUCUAAUCUCUAACUCCUUGGUGCAGUCUCUUCUGUCAUUGCCGCUGGGGACUUGGAGCUUCCUUCCGCGGAUGAAGAAGAUGAGGUCCAGGUAGAACAAACCCCUGCCGAGGCCGCUCUUUCUGGCAGAAGAAAAAGAAAAGGACCUGUCUCUCCUCCGGUCAAUACCACGCGGCCCGGCAUUUCAGGUAAGCUCGUGAUGUUCCAGCUAUUCCUUUCACACUUAUUCUGGCUUGCCUUCUUUUUCCUAAUCUUUGCUUUUUUGUUCUGUCCAGCUGAGAGUCCUUCCCCUCCUCCUACUAAGUUGAAAAAACUUAAAAAAAAGAGUGAGGUGGAGUAUGUUGAUGCAUAAGAAACCGCAGCAGUCCCCACCACUACCUCUGGGACGGAUGAAGAGCUGCGAGAGGCUUUUGAGGAGGUGGAGCAGGAAGAAGAGCUGGAAGAGUUGGAAGGAGUGCCUCAGGAAAAAACAACAAUGAUGGAAGGAGAGGUGAGGUUUAUUUCUGUGAUUUGUAUCGGUUCCCCUUUCGCCCCAUUCCUUCUGUCUUGACCCCUGUUUUGUAGGAGGAGAUCCCUGCUGAGGUGAUUGCAGAGAGCAUUGCCUUGGCGCAGAAGCAACAAGGGGGUCCAAGGGCUGAGCUGACUAGCUCAGAACUGGCCCUGUUUGAAGAUGCCGAGGCAGAGCACUCUACUGCCGCUCCAGCGGCUGAGGAUCAGGCGGAGAAGUCUGCAUCAGAGCCUGUGGAUCAGGCAGAACUAUCUGUUGUAGUCCCGGAGGCUGAGGUGGAAACAACUGCCGCUGUUCCCGUGGUUGUGGUAAUUUUCCUCCUUACCUGUCCAUAUUUUCCUGCGAUUCUGCCUUGUUCUCCCCUUUUUAACUGUUGUAGCCUUUCCAGGCAGAAGUGCCUAAAGCUGUUGGCGCCCUGGCAGUGGUGACCAGCCCCCUGAAGCCUCCCAUCGUUGCUGUAAGCUUUUAUGACUUUUAGGCCCCCUGUUUUCCAUUCUCUGCCUGGUCUUAACUUAUGCUUUCUUCUGCAGAUGCCUAUUCAUUCCUUUCCAGGAUCAUCUACCACGGCUUCUUUUGCUGAUCCAGAACUGGAGGAGUUUGAAGCCAUGGAUCUGGAUGCUCAAUUGGAUAGGUUGGAGAAACUCAGCUCUCCUCCAGGCAGGGCAAAAUCUAGGGCAGUGGAGGAGGCCAUGGAGAGGUUGAAAAUCUGGCAGUCCACUGAGCUGGAGUUUGACCAAGACAAGGAAGCCUUUGAUCAGCUGAUGAAGGACUUAGACCUGCUACACAGACAGAACAUGGCUCCGAAGCCUAUUCUUGAGAUGGGCCUAAGCUUGGCCAGAGAUGUGCUCAUCUUGCAUGAUCGUUAUGAGGAUCUCAGGCCCACCUUCAAGACUUAUGAGUUCUGCAAGGCCACUCAUGAAGCCAACCUGGCUGAUUUUGCAAAGCAGAAAGCAGAACUGGACCAGAUGGUGGCAGGAUACAAGGAAGCCAAGGCUACCGCAGACAAGCUGGAGAAGCAAAUUGAAGAGCUCCAAAAACAACUGGCGGAGUGCAGGGAAGUGCAGAGCAGGCUUGGGGCUUCAUUGAGUUCCAAGACCAAGGCUACAUUCCUUGUGCAAAGCAUGGUUGCAGCUUCCAGACCAGCCUUGGAAAUUGCAGAGGCUUCACUUCAUCAGGGGGUGCUGCUCCAGAAAGAGCUUUCUGUCAAGAAGGCAAACCUGCAGGAAACCCUUAGGAAACUAGGGUUUUAGUCUUUUCUACCUUUAGCUUCUUUAUUGUUUGAACAAUUUUGCCGCGAGGGUGGCUAUUUUUAUAUAAGCUUAUUUAUUUGUCGCCCUUAAAUAGCAUUUUACUACUCUUUAUUUACUCUUGAUGCAAUAACUGGACACAGUAUUGAAAGUAAAAACAAAACAACUUUAAAGCAAAAAUGGAUCCAAACAAACAAAAAGAAAAAGGGGUCAGUCUUGUUCCUUUGCUAUCCCAGGGUCUGUCUGUACAGCCUGCGAAUCCCACAUGGUUGGAUAGAAUUUCUUUAACCAUUUGCCAUUGAUUGGGGCAGUAUGAAUAACUCCAUCUCGGUCCUGCAACCUAUAUGCCCCCAUUCCGAGGAUCUGGUUAAUUACAAAAGGGCCUUCCCAUGUAGGUGACCAUUUUCCAUAUCCAGCUAUGUGUGCUCCAAGGGGCAGAAUUGCCUUCCAGACUAUUUCUCCCUCUUCAAAACUCUUGUUUCUGACUCUUUUGUUGUAGGCUCUCGACACAGCCUGUUUUCCUGCUAAGAGUUUGUUGAGGGUGUCAAUCCUGCUUGCAUCCAAUUCUUCCAAUUCCAGCAACAUGGCUUGAGAGUAGUCUUCUCCAAUGAGACCGUGCUGGUGAGCAAUUCUAAGAGACUGGACUGCUAUCUCCAUGGGAAGAAUUGCAUCAUGGCCGUAGGUUAGAGCAUAGGGGGUCAUGCCAGUUGCUUCUCUUUUUGAAGUUCUGUAUGCCCACAAAGUCUCUGAUAACUUCUCAUGCCACUGUUUUGGGUUUUUCUCCAGCAUUUUUCUGAUGAUAUUGAUAAUUACCUUGUUACUUGAUUCUGCAUGUCCAUUAGCUUGAGCAUAGUAAGGAGCAGAUUGAAGCAGUUUGAAUUUGUGGUUUUUACUGGCUUGGCCUCUACCCACUUGGUGAAAUAGUCUGUGGCAACAAUAAUGAAAUAGUGCUGCUGGUUGCUGGCUGGAUAGAUCUUACCAAUGAGAUCCAUUGCCCAUCCCCUAAAAGGCCAUGGUUUUACUACUGGAUUCAUGGGAACCGAAGGAGCCUGCUGGAUUGGGCCGUGCUUUUGACAGGCCUCACAUCCCUUGGAAUAGUUGAUGCAAUCUUUCAUCAUGGUUGGCCAGAAGUAGCCAUACCUUCUGAUUAACCAGCACAUCUUUCUUCCCCCCUGGUGAGCUCCACAGAUCCUCUCAUGGGUUUCUCCCAUGACUUUCAUAUAUUCUGUCUUCCCGAGGCACCUUAAUAGCACCUCAUCCUUACUUUUUCGGACCAAAUCUUCAUUCCACAUGAGGUAGUUUGUAGCCAUGAUUCUGACUCUUUUCUUAGAGGGCAGAGUGGGAUAUCGUAAGUAAGUCAUGAUAGGCUCCCUCCAAUCAUCUUCAGUGAUUAAGGCAGAAUUGACUUCUAUCUCCAUCCCUCUAGUCAAAACAGAUGGUAGACUUUUCCUUCCUAUCUUGAUGAUCCUUUGGACGCAGUCUUCGGGCAUUUGUAUGCCUGAUGCCACCUGAGCCAGUUCAUUGGCUGCAAAGUUUUCCUCCCUUGGGAUGUGUUCCCAAGUAGCUUCUCUAAAUUCUGUCAGCAGAUUUCUAGCUGCUACUAGAUAUACAGCCAGAGAAGGAUUUAGACACUUGUAUUCUCCAGCAAUCUGUUUUAGGACAAGCAUGGAAUCUCCCAAGAUCUCCACGGAUUGGAUUCCUAAUUCUACCAACAUCUCGAGCCCAAUAAUCAAAGCUUCAUACUCGGCCCUGUUGUUGGUGCACUGGAAAUCUAACUGGAAGGAAUAGCAAUAUCUGACCCCUAAUGGUUCUUCCAGAACAAUCCCGGCUCCUGAAGCCUUAUCUGUCUUUGAUCCAUCAAAAUAUAAUUUCCAAGUUGUGAGAUGAAUCGAAUAGAUUGGAUUGUUAAGGCAAACAUGAGCUCUAGUUAGCAGAUCUGCAUUUGCUAUGUCCAAAGAAUCCAUGUUCUCAAUUUCCUCUCCUGGGUGAUCUGCUAAGAAGUCUGCCACAGCUUGCCCUUUGACAGCUUUCUGGGGGACAUACCUGAAGGUGAAUUAUGUCAAAGCCAAAGUCCAUUUCCCAAUUCUGCCCCUCAGCAUUGGUCUUGUUAGCAUGUAUUUGAUUAAGUCUGUCUUGGCAAUGAUGUAGAUAGUAUGUGGCGGCAUGUAGUGCCUGAGUUUUACAGCAGUGAAAUACAAGGCCAGGCAAAGCCUUUCUAUUGCGGAAUACCUUCUUUCCACUUCUGUUAAUGUUCUGCUUAGAUAGUAGACUGCUUGUUCCUUUCCUUCUUUGUUAUCUUGAACUAGCAGACUUCCAAUGGAUACUUCUGAUGCAGAUACAUAGAGCUUGAGUGGUCUGCCUCUUUUCGGCGGGGACAGAACUGGUGGAUUUGAGAGGUAAUGCUUUAUUUCCUGGAAAGCCUGUUGGUGCUGUUCUUCCCAUUUGAAUGUUUGUUCCUGCUUCAGCCUUAACAGGGAAGAAAAAGGUUGGAUCUUUCCCGCAGAAUUGGAUAUGAAUCUCCUUAGAAAAUUGAUUUUUCUUAGGAGACUCUGAAGUUCCUUCUUGUUUCGAGGUGGUAGGGCUUCUAUGAUGGAUUUUGCUUUAUUUCUGUCAACCUCUAUACCUCUCUGGUGGACCAAGAAUCCUAAGAAAUUUCCUGCUUGGACUCCAAAAACACAUUUUUUGGGGUUCAUUUUUAGUUUGUGCUGCCUCAUUCUUAGGAAUGCCUUUCUCAGGCUCGCUACGUGGUUUCCUUCCUCGGGGGAUUUAAUCACCACGUCAUCUAUGUAUACUUCCAAGGAAUGUCCUAUCAUAUCAUGAAAAAUGGAAUUCAUUGCCCUUUGGUAGGUGGCCCCCGCAUUUCUCAAACCGAAGGGCAUUACAGUAUAUUCGAAAGCACCUAUAUGUCCAGGCCACAUAAAGGCUGUCUUGUGGAUGUCUUGUUCUGCCAUCAUAAUCUGGUUAUAACCUGCAUUGCCGUCCAUGAAAGAUAGCAUCUGGUUAUGAGCAGCUCCAUCCACUAGCAUGUCUGCCAUUGGCAUAUGAUAUUCGUCCUUGGGAGAUGCCUCAUUCAGAUUUCUGUAAUCCACGCAGAUUCUAACUGCCCUUGUUUUUCUUUUGAGAACAGGCACAAUAUUUGCUAACCAAUCGGCAUGGACGGCUGGCCUGAUGAAUCCUGCCUUGAGCAGCCUUUCUACCUCUUCUUUGACCUUUAGUUCCGUGUCCAUAGACAUUCUUCUUCUGGCCUGUUUAACCGGAAGGUAGCCGUCUUUGAUUGGUAGCUUAUGCUCGACUAACUGCCUGUCCAAUCCUGGCAUCUCGUGGUAAUGCCAAGCAAAACAAUCUCUGAACUCCUGCAAAAGUGCCAUGAGUUCAGUCUUGAGUGGUUCCUUCAAAAGUGUGCUGAUGAAAGUAGGCCUUGGAUCUUCUUCUGUCCCUAAGUUUAUUUCCUGUAGAGGAUCCUCCACUUCUGGCAGGGAGUCAUCCAGUGCUGCUGGUGCAAAAUCUAAUACUUCCUUCUGUAAAAUUUCCUCCUCUUGUUCCUUUGUGCUUUCAUGGGUGAAUUCUGCCAUAUUGAUGGCUGGAUUCUGUAUGAAAAGCCUCCUUUCUUCCCAGUAUAUCAACAAUCUUUUUGUGAUGGAUCAGAUUGUUGCAGCUCGAUCCUUAUUCAGUUGGUUGAGACUAAACAUCAGAGUUCUGGUAGUUCAGCACAAAAAGGUCUAUUCCAGUCUUCUAGAGAACUGGCUAAACCUUCUUCAAUGAGUCUUUGGGCCGUGACACCAUGGGGGCGGCCGUUCUGGUUGACUCCAAGGAAAGUGAAAGGACCGAGGUCAUCAUGAUAAUACCUUGCUUCAAAGCACAUGGCAGAGGGCAGGAAUGGUCGUGGAUCGGCCUCUAUAAUCUCCAUGCAGCCUUCUUCAUUCCAUAGUGCUAACUGCUGGUGGAGGGUGGAAGGAAUACAAAGGCUCUGGUGAAUCCAAUCCCUGCCAAGUAGUGCAUUGUAGGUGGUGGAAGUAGUGUCUAUCACAAAGAAUGCUAUUUUCAACUCUUUGCUUCCGACUAUGACAUCCACGUCUAAGAUGCCAUGAAUUUUUGUGAUGCCCCCAGCGAAGUUGGUGACGGUUAAACGUGUUGGAAUCAAAUCCUUCUCUGUUCUGCCCAUCUUGGUCAGCAUUCUGUGGGGUAAUAGAUUAAUGGCUGCACCUCCAUCUACCAUGAUCUUGGAAAUAGGAAUACCUCCAAGAUUUGCCGUUAUAAACAAAGGCCUGAGGUGAUUUGCCAUUUCUCUGGUUGGUUUGGAGAAACAAAGUUGCUCUGUAGCUGGUUUAUUGGCUGUUCCGCCUGUCCUGGGGUUGUCUACUUGUGGUUCUGGUGGCUCCUUUGCUUCUGCCAAUCUACACUCAAAGCUUUCCUGAGAGAAAACAUCUCCUUCCAAAGUGCUUUCUUGUCCCUCGGCGGCCCUGAAUUUACCUGGUAGGAUGAAUACCAUGUUAAUUCCCAGAUCACCCUGUAGCAGGUCUUCCAAUUCUGCGCCAAAAGCUUCUGUUUCUGGGUCCAAUUCUUCACCAAAUUCCAUUAAUUCUUCCCCGUAUUCUUCCGUCCAGUCAUCCUGCUCUACAGCUCCGAAGGGCUCAUUCUGAUCAUCUGCAGAUGGUUCGUAGUCCAAUUGCUCUUCUUCAUAUUCCUCAGUGUAGUCGUCUUCUCCUUGUAGCGGGGUAGACCCAGAUUUCUCUGGUGCCUGUGUGGUGUCGGGAUGACUGCCGGAUGACGAGGCUAGAUGGAUAGGAGAUCUGGCUGGCGGUUCUGUUUUUAGCAGUUCCCUUGACUGGCAAGCUUUCUGUUAUGUCUGGGGAAGUGUUUCAGGAUUUUUUCCUUUUCUGGCAGAAUUGGUCUCUGGAUGUACUUGUGUAUUAUCCUGGCUCUUAAGAUAUGUGCAGUAUUGCCUUUGGAUUCUUCUUUUCUGAGUUCUAGUUAGCUCUAGAGUUGGUCUACCGCUUUUUCCUACGGAGUACCAUCUACCCUCUAUGAUUGUUGCCAAGGGCUUUUCAUUUCCGGGUGUCCUGACUGGUAUUUCCUUUCUGGGUUGCUCCGUCCUCCUUUCGCUGUAUUGUGUAGGCCUAAGACAGCUCUUCUGCCUUGUUUUGUCUCGGGAUGAAGUUCCAAUCCUGUCGAAGACACUAGGUGUGGGCUGAUUUUGUCUGUCUAGAACCACCUCUAGCUCUGUUUCACAUUUGCACCUGCUGCAGAGCACCACCCCAGCCGAGAUGGUCGCUCUUGGUAUUUGACUGGUUUCCCUUAUGAUUCUUCUGCCUCUGCUGCAACCAGCAUCUGUCGUUGGCUCAGUUUCCCUCUGUUCUGGCCAAUUCAAGUUGACCAUAUUGACUUGUGGCUGAGGGAAAGGAUUUGUCGUGACCGAUGGAGGUUUUUCUGCUAGUUUCAGCCUUCCUGCCGUUAUCCCUUCUUGUAUUACGUCCCUGAAAACAACACAACUAUUGGUAGAAUGGUUCCAAGAGUUGUGCCACCUGUAGUACUGUCUGCCAUUGAGUUUUUCCGGCUUGGGUAUUCUGUGGGGUGUUUCUAUCGCCUUCUGCAGUAGCAUUUCAUCGAACAAAGCAUCAACCUUGGUCAAAUCAAAACAGUAAACCUUGUUUUGCGUUGGCUUGUUGGGAACGAAUCCUCCUGUGAAUAGUGGUGGCUUUUGGUCUUUAGGUGGCUUUGUAAGGGCUUUGCAACUAAUGGGAUGUUUUAGUUUUGCAAUUUCUGCCACUGAAACAUCUCUCUCUUCUGAUUCUUCUGCAUCUUCUUAUGAUUCCACCUCGAUCAGGUGGACUGAAGAAGAAGGGGUUUUGUAGUAUGUACCUUUGGAGGAGUUCCUCCUUUGCUGUUCUUCCCUGAGUAACUCCUCAUAUUUGGAUGCCUUAUCAGCCAGUUCUGCCAGGUCUCCGAACAACAUUCCGUCGAACCUCUUCCUGAGAGAGAUUUUAAGGGCAGCUUGGGCCAUCUGGAUGAAGUGUCUUUCUUCCAUAGGGAUUCGGCACUUCAUUUUGAGCUUUCUGAACCUGGUUAUGAAAUCUUGGGCCGGUUCAUCUUCACUUUGCUUGAGGGCAGCUAGAUCACUGAUGGUGACUUCUGGCUGAAUCCUGUAAUAGUAGUCAUGGAAGACAUUUUCCAUCUGUUCCCAUGUUUGAACAGAGUUAGCUGGCAGGCUGGUGUACCAGGUAAAAGCUUGUCCAGAGAGAGAGUUGCCGAAAAGCCUUAAUUUCAGCAGAGGGUUGUUCUCAAUAGCUAUGCAUUGGACGGAGAACCUGCCUAUAUGUUCAACUGAGGAAGCAUGGGGGUCCUCCCCGUUGAACAAAGUGAAGUUUGGUACUUUGAAACCUGGAGACAGCGGUAUCUGAUCGAUAUAGGCUGGGUAUGGCUUUCUGUAAGUAGGCCUUUCCCCUCUUCUAGCCUCGGGCUCCAUGAUUUCUCUGAUCAUUCUUUGCAAUGCUCCUAUGUCAUUCAAAGCAUUGACGGGGGGAAGAUUUUGUCCCUGUUCUGGCUGGACGUAAUCGAUCCUAGGCUCUGCUCUGUAUGGUCUGGGUGGAGCUUCCUCCCUGCGCUCUUCCUGCUCUUCUAUGUCUGGGUGAUUCCUCCAGUUUGUCCCCGGCCUAUUCCUGUCAUGAUUAGCAAAAAGGUUAAUCCCCCCUCUGCCUCUUCUCCCUCUUGCGGGUGGAGGGAAUGGAUUAGGGUCCAUCCUUCUGGGUCUAUAUGGCAAUACUGCUGGUGGUUCAGGCAGAAGUGCCAAAGGUUGAUCAUGCGGGGCCACAUGAGGUGGAAUGGGCUGAGGUUCUGGCUGGUUCUGCUGAGCUAGUGCAAGGUCAUCUGGUCGGGCUGGGGCUUCGUGUUCUUGAUUAGGAAGGGCUCCUUCCCUCGGACCAGCCUGAAUUUCUCUGUGGUCUGGUACUCCAGCUAUCUGUGCAACUAGGGGUUUUCCUGGUAUGGCCAUGCUAGUCCUGGCAGAGGGCCAUAAGGGAGAUCUAACUGCUAGAUUACAGGAUCGGGGUUUGGGAUUCUGGCCAUGGCGGAUUCUCGGUCCUUCCGGAACUGUCUGUUAACCUGCCAUUGCAUCAUGGCUGUCAUGUUAUUGAGAGUGUCCUGGCUCCUUUGUACUGUGAUUUCUUGUCGGAGUACUGACUCCUGUAUUUGAUUCAUCGUUUUGGAGCCAGUCCUGGAACGUCUACUUCCUGUACUGCAGUGGGCAGAUUGCCUAGCAUCGCUUUCUUCUGACUCGAGGCCUUCCCUGAGAGCCAUCUUGUUUCUCUCCAUAUCUGGUGCGGGUUCUGGCUAGAGCUUCCGGUAUUUGUAAAUCUGUGAAUGAUUCUGUCAGAGUAUGUAUACUGCGAAGUCCCACUGGGCGUGCCAAAUUGUUCACCCGUUUUCGUGUUUACUCCUGAGGUGGAAGGGCGAAGUUCCCCACUGGCUUGGAGACCAUUUGUUGGUCGACAAGUCAGCUUUCUUUGGUGUGUGAGCGUGCCACUACUAGCAAUGUAAAUCCUAGCAGACUUCUUUUUAGAGUGGAUAACUUGCGCCCCAAGUUACUGACUUCUAAAACAAAUGAUUGUGAAUUUGGGUGAGGAAUAUCUCCCAAGUAAGUUCUUUUCUUGCCUCAGACUGGUGAGGACUUUCAUAAUUUAUCUCAGUAUCAAAUGGUUGUUCUGGCCAGAAUAGAUAAUAAUGAAGUGGACUGUUUUAGGCAGAACUGCCUUUUACAAAAUUAAGAAGGGAGAAAUCAACUCUAGAAAGACAAAAAGAUGGCUGGAAUCCCAUUUCUGCCUGGGUAGAAACUUCUGAUCCAGGCUGGACUGAGUAUGUCUGUGCUGGACUGAGCUGUCAACAACUUCAACUGCUUAGCUUCAGCUGUAAAUCGAUACCAAAGUUCAAUUUUGGCAGAGCUUUAAUCUACUUCAAGCCUUGGGAGGCUUUUGAGCGGGCAGAACUGCGGCUUCUUCAGUCUGAAGGGGCAGAAGUGGCUAGACUUGAGGGCUUAAUAAGCUGGAAUUGCACUGUAAAAUUUGUUGAGGUUUUCGUAUUUGUGAAAACUCAAACUCUGCUUGCCUUGGCUUUUGCUGAACCAAAUUUGUAACGAGAGAGAUCUCAUUUUAGAAGACUUAUUUUUUAAGUCUAAACUUUGGAAUUCUGAUCUAAAGCUGGUUUCUCUUGGAAUCCAAGUGAGCUUUUGGUUGUUUUCUUGUUGUUUGUUUUUUUUGAUUGAUUGAUGAAUUGAGUGUCCUCCUUGUCGUUUGCCUACUUCUGCUUUUAUAAGAGACCCUCUUAGGGCGGUAGUCUUUUGUUUAGAUUUUAAUAAUGGGCGGUAAAAAGAUCUCCUAUAAUGUAAAGUAGAAGGGAUUUUUAUUAAUCAUGGCAGAUAGGCUCUCAGUAGUCAUCUCCUAAAGCAGUCCCUUCCCUGGUUUCCUGGGUGGCAGAUUUUUAUUUCAACCAACGCCACCGUCUGUGUGGGCUAAAUUUUAUGGCGGUUGGUUUUCUUAUUUGUAUUUUCUGCACAGCUCCCUGUUUCCCGUUCUAAUUUAGAAAGCGUGACCCGGGAAUUCCUUGGAAGAUGGUGUAUUGCUUCUUGGAGCAAAAUCUCUGAUCACAGAUGGGUUUUGAUCUUCUGCUGGCAGUGUUUCAGAGAUGUCCCUCUCAUAUUUUUAACUUAGUUGAAAUUGCUGACUUUUCAAAGUUGAGGCAAUCACGUGGGUGUGUUUUUAAUUCCUUUGGGUUUGAACCCAACAAAAAUUAUGGGCUGAUCCUUGAAGCCCAAAUGACAGUUUGGUCUUUCUUGGGCUGGGGGCUUUGUUUUCGACAUCCCGACGUGAAGCCCAAUCUGUCUGGAUCCUAAUUUUGUUAUCCUCAAGCUUUUUGGGCUGGGCAGGUAAUUUCACCAUGGGCCUGUCUUCUGAUUUUUGGCGUGUCAAAUUUAGGCCCAAACAAAGUCGCAACCGAUUGUCCAUCACUUGUUGAUUUGAUUGCUUUUCUACCACUUCUUCAAUAUGAACACAUGAAUUUUUUAAGCUAAUCCACUUUUGCAUAGAAAGAUGAUGCGGUGAAUUUAGUUUGUCUACAUGAGGUUGAAAUGCACAAUGAUUCCCACCAAUUCUCUUCCAACAUUGAAACCCAUCAAUAGUAAAGGCCGGAAAUGAUUAAGUUCUAUCAAACAAGAAACAAGGAAAACAAAAUGCCUUGUUUUUAGCAACUGAAUACUCAAGCCAAGAGAAUUGGCCAAACCACUUUUUAUUAAAUCAACGUAAGAUUUUCCCUUCUAAGUGGCUUGGAUAAUCUUCUAACUCAGGUUGACAUGGCCCUAAAAGAAUAUAUGCUCUUCGCACAUUAUCUUGUUCAUUCACCGAAUAUUUGCACAUUAGACGACGUAAUCCUAGAUCACGUUCAAGAUAAUUGAUAUUAAAAUCUUGAUCAUCAUUGACUCUUUGACUCUCAACUCUUUCAACUUGAGGCUCAACAAUGGGAGACUCGGGAAGAUUUUGCUCAUCACAAAUUAGAGUAGAAAAAGAAGUGCUAGGCAUCGUAUUAGAUGAUGACCCAUCAUUCUUUUUCUUAAAAAAAAGAAAACAAGUUCUUUAUUUUCUUGGGGCUCGGAUUGUGAUCCGACAUAAUAAAAGAUAAAUAAUAUGUAGAAAUGAUUUUAGUCAAACAUGUCAACAACAACAAAACUAAUUAUCAUAAUAUAAUCAAUGCAUUUAAUCAAACAUACCAACACAACACACAAAUCAAACAUCUCAACAAUACCAACAACAAAUUAAAUAUCUCAACAAAAUUCCUAAAAUCAAAGCCCUAAUUAAUUUCAACAAAAUCUCCCAAUUAGAAUUCAUUCCUAAUUAAACCUUAGAAUAUUUUCUAUUCAAAUUAAAGAGCAUAAGAUAACUAAAAAUGAGAGAAUGGGAGAAGAAUACUUGUUGCCAAGAAGAGAAGUUGCUCCUGCAAAGAAGUUGAGAGUUGAAUUGAUGGUAGCUGAAGGUUGAGACGGAGAGAAGUUGAAGUGUUGAUAUUUUGCAGAGAGAGUUUCUGUUAUGACUGCUGAGAGCUGAGUCUGCACAUGAUCCCUUUUAAUUUUUGGUUGCUGCAUAUGUUGUUUAAGUGGGCUAGUUGCUUUCUUCUUUUUUUUGCCAAAAUUUUGGGCCUGGCAUGAGCCCAGCCAGCCCAUAGCUGGAAACGCCACUGCCU
rnacentral:lncRNA from 1 species